rnacentral:sRNA from 1 species
GCUGGGUGCAGUGGUGUACGCCUGUAAUCCCAGCUGCUGGGGAGGCUGAGGCAGGAGGAUUGCGAGUUCAAAGCCAGCCUCAG